GCAGUGGUGGUUCAGUGGUAGAAUGAUCCCCUUUUGUACAGUAGCCCGAGUUCUAUUCUCAGCUAAUGCA
rnacentral:tRNA from 1 species